rnacentral:rRNA from 1 species
GACGAACGCUGGCGGCGUGCUUAACACAUGCAAGUCGAACGGAAAGGCCCUGCUUUUGUGGGGUGCUCGAGUGGCGAACGGGUGAGUAACACGUGAGUAACCUGCCCUUGACUUUGGGAUAACUUCAGGAAACUGGGGCUAAUACCGGAUAGGAGCUCCUGCUGCAUGGUGGGGGUUGGAAAGUUUCGGCGGUUGGGGAUGGACUCGCGGCUUAUCAGCUUGUUGGUGGGGUAGUGGCUUACCAAGGCUUUGACGGGUAGCCGGCCUGAGAGGGUGACCGGCAACAUUGGGACUGAGAUACGGCCCAGACUCCUACGGGAGGGAGCAGUGGGGAAUAUUGUACAAUGGGCGGAAGCCUGAUACAGCAACGCCGCGUGCGGGAUGACGGCCUUCGGGUUGUAAACCGCUUUCGCCUGGGACGAAGCGUGAGUGACGGUAAUGGGUAAAGAAGCACCGGCUAACUACGUG